CCUACGGGUGGCAGCAGUGAGGAACAUUGGUCAAUGGGCGGAAGCCUGAACCAGCCAAGUAGCGUGCAGGAUGACGGCCCUACGGGUUGUAAACUGCUUUUAUACGGGAAUAACGCGUCUUACGUGUAGGGUUUUGCAUGUACCGUAUGAAUAAGGACCGGCUAAUUCCGUGCCAGCAGCCGCGGUAAUACGGAAGGUCCGGGCGUUAUCCGGAUUUAUUGGGUUUAAAGGGAGCGUAGGCCGCAUGUCAAGCGUGCUGUGAAAUGUCCGGGCUCAACCCGGGCCUUGCAGUGCAAACUGGCGGGCUUGAGUCCGCGAGAGGCAGGCGGAAUUCGUGGUGUAGCGGUGAAAUGCUUAGAUAUGACGAAGAACCCCGAUUGCGAAGGCAGCUUGCUGGAGCGGAACUGACGCUGAGGCUCGAAAGCGCGGGUAUCGAACAGGAUUAGAUACCCUAGUAGUC
rnacentral:rRNA from 1 species